rnacentral:rRNA from 1 species
UGACUGCUAUACCGGAUGAUGACUUCGGUCCAAAGAUUUAUCGGCAAAGGAUGAACCCGCGUAGGAUUAGCUAGUUGUGGGGUAAAGGCCUACCAAGGCGACGGAUCCUUAGCCUGGUCUGAGAGGAUGAUCAGCCACACUGGGACUGAGACACGGCCCAGACUCCUACGGGAGGCAGCAGUGGGGAAUAUUGGACAAUGGGCGAAAGCCUGAUCCAGCAAUGCCGCGUGAGUGAUGAAGGCCUUAGGGUUGUAAAGCUCUUUUACCCGGGAUGAUAAUGACAGUACCGGGAGAAUAAGCUCCGGCUAACUCCGUG